GGAGGUAUACAAGAAGGGACAAUAGAGACAGGAAGUAUUUCUACACAGAAGAAAUGGAAGUAGCAAAGUCUAAGCAAAGAAAAGGGUGGAAGAGAAACAGGUUGAAGCCAAGAGACAAUUUUUCUUUCACCGUCUUACCUCCUUCCCUUUCUGGAGAAAUCCACCACAGGGAACCUUGUGAAUGAGGAUUUUAGAAAAUACACAGAUGACAGCAAAUGUUUUGGACUGAAUUAGACUCAAUGUCCAGAGAGGUUUUUUUCUCAUUUCUAGCAUCCAGCUCUAACGGUGGCAGUCUAGAAGAUGGCAACAAAACCCUAAAUCCUGCUGUAAUUUUUACUUGUACAGGCACAAACUUGUUCAGAACAAUACUGGUCUGAGGAAGCACAGAGAAUACCAAUUUCUGAUAUUUCUUCUUUCAUCAAAAUCAGAUGAAAUGCUGAAUUCAAAACAAAUGUACCGAUUACAGCAUUAAGUAUUUCGUGUCUCAUUGGACUUAGAAACUUCUGGAGGCAAGAACUGUGUCCUGUUCUGCUUUUAUACUGUCCCUGGUGCCAUCAGGGGACCAUGUGCUCAGCCCCAGACUCAGCUGAGGCUUAUAUACGUACAUAAACACAACCACGAACAAUACACGCUGCCCACUCCUGUCUGCCCGUGCACUGGGAAGGAAUGGGGAGAGGAAGCGGGAGCAUUUUUUGCAUUAAGGCACCAUCUAGAAGCUCCUACUGUUUGGAACUGAGAUCGUGCUAGCUAUGCACUUCCUAAUGACCCCAGAAUUCACUGCCACUAAAAAAAGAUAAAGAAAAAUCCUUCCCUUGACAUAUCUUAUUGAUAGAGUGCUGAUUCUGUCUCAAGACAUGGUAGUUUUAGGUUAAAAGGUUGUUAUUGAAAGUUUUUGAUUUGUUUCAGUCCUGGUUUUAUAAUGUCUCCUCAACUAGCUAGUCCUGCCAGAAUACAGGAGGAGCCUUCUGUUAUUUUAGUGUAGACUAGUCUGGUCGUUCUUCACUGUUUUCCUGAAUUUGCUUUACUUAGCACAGCAAAGGGAGCUGACAACACUUCUGUGAACAUCACUUCUGUCUUAUCUACCAGCUUGUGCUCAGGUGAAUCAAGUGCCCCAGUUGCGUGAUGAAGCUGACAAGAAUAUUUCCUCACCAAAAUGUACUUGCAUGAUCACCUUAGUCAUCACCUACAGGGAUGAACUGCUUCUGAGCAGACCUACAUUGGUAAU